AACAGGGUCUUGCAGGCAGUAGGCACUCAAUUCAUGUCUGCUGAAAGUUAUUGACUGACCAGCUAAUGAUGCUUCACUGCAGCGCCUUUCCAGGAUACAUGACAGUUGGAAACUCUAGCAUCUUAACUUGACAUCACCAUGUGACAAUAUCUGCAAGACAUCAAGACAUUUUUCUAGAUCCUGGAAUUACACCUUGAACAAG
rnacentral:lncRNA from 1 species